UCCCCAUCGCCGCCGCCCACCACCUCCCCCCUCCUCUCCUAGAGCCACACCCAUCCCAAUCCAUCUUCCUCCUCCCCUCCACCUCCACCUCAACCACCCAGCAAUGGCACAUCGCCGCCGCUCACACCCACCAGCCACCUUGCUCAUGGGCUCGGCCCUGUCCCCCAUCCUUUCCUGACGUUCUCUCCUAGAACAGAUCAAGUAGCCGACAGCCAGAUCCGCAGCGGUCCUUCCAGUGGCCAUCUCAUGGAGCUCAUCCACUAGCCGUGAUUCAACUUUGUCAAGUUGGUGAUGUUGCUGCCUUGAAGGACCUGCCGAAGUGGAGAAGGAGGCCCACCGGCGCCAUGGGUCGGUAUAUUCCGGCGCAACCAGGAUGAUUGCCAGCUCAUCAGCUUAAAGGUUGUGUUAAGAACGCCAACCAUGGAGAAGCUGCUGCGGGGGUUAAAGGGUCAGGUGAGGACGCCUGGAAUGCAGCUCAACAUCACUACCAUAACUUCAGGUCCCCUGUACCAAAUGUGACAUGCCUCCUCCAUACUCUCUCCCUCUGUUUGUUGUGAUUCGGUAGUUGUGCUUUGCUGAUGUUGUUUCCCCAACAGAGAUCCUCGAGGCUGACACAGAAAAUCAUGACAAACACCAACAAGUUUGUCAAUGUAACGACUUCUCCUGUCUCUCUUGUUGGCGCCACCUCCUCGCAGCGCCUCUCUUCUUCUACCUCUGAUUACUCUUCCUCUUGUGGUUUCUCUCAAACACAUACUCAUGGAAGAAACUCCUAGGAAACACACACACACACACACACACUCACAACCAAGAAAGACGACCAGUGGCUUUGCCCAGAACACUUUCUUGGUCAUACGAGAGACUACAUUGUUUUUCUGCCCUCACGACUGCAAACUUUCUCAUUCACUUGAUCAACUUAAAUAGCAAGUACAGGAUAAGACUCACACCUCAUGCACUUACUCCACUAACGCACUAAUCCACCUCCUGGAAUUUCUCUAGACGCAUGCGACUCGGCCAACAUGCAAGGCACACCGGUAGAGUCACAAAUCCACUCACGGAUGCACCAAGACCUAUUCUCAUGUAGCUACUAACUAACUCAUCUAAUUCCACUACUAACUUGCGUGUACACAUAUUAACUGAUCUUCACAUGAGUACACACCCGCUGUCUAGUAGCUGGACACGACUACAUGCAUGGAUCAACAAAAACAAAUAAUCUAAAUUAGCACCAAUAACAAGAUUAGUCCCAACAUCUCUCUCAACAAGAUUUCCUCUGUUUCAAGAUUCAACAGAAAAGUUUCUUGUUUUGGUGGUAUUUCACCCGCAAACUUUUAACAUCAAUAAUGGCAUUUACCUGGGAGUAUCAUCAAAUGUUGAUUACAUCUGUACAUAUUAAUCAUAGCUCUAGAGCAACUGUGGUAUAUUUGUUGUUAUUGCUACAGUCAUUUAUUUUUUGAUCAUGGCAUGCAUGUUCGCUCCUUGUGUAUUUGGAGAUAAGAGUAGAGGAUGGCAACCUUGUCUGCUUUGGGAAAAUCACUUGUAAACAUCCCUUAUUUGUUACCCGUCCUUGAAUAUAAGCGAAGCAUGAUGAAUUCAAGCUGCGCUUUCCUAACUAUUAGUUACUGUUUAUGAAUUACUUUCUUGGUUCAUAGUUCACUACAGUACAGAUUUUGAUUUUUUUAUCCAAUAACAAGUACAGAGCUUAGUACUCCACAAACAAACUAGUUUCUGUUAUUAUCUUGAAGUUAAUCUCUAUCACUUGUUUACUGUCAUUCCUGUUUGUUAAGGAAUGGUGUGGUACAGUGUAUAUGCUGGCAGAAUUUUCUUUACAUAAUUUUCAUCUGAUCGCUUGUAUAGAAAAUUAUUUCUUCCUUAUUCUUUUGCAUUUCUGAUUGAAUCUUUAAUUUUUGUUUUAAUAUGGUUGCAAACAACGCUGAUGCAAGUACAUCUUCAUCGUGUUGUACUCAUUGUUUCUCUAGCAUGCUAAUCAUUGUCUGAUUGCUUUUACUUGGUUCAAAUAGGUGACACAAAGUGAAACCCUUGACAUGAACUUCAUUACUUCCUUGAUGUCGAAUUACAGCAGAGGAUUAUUUGUAGAACUAUAUUACCUGACUUCUUAAUAUAGUUGUAUAAAUAAUCCUUUCAUGAGCAUAUGAACUUGAUUUUUUUUGUUGUACUUAUGAAUAAGAAAUGAUCUAUCCAUCCGUUUGUUUUAAAAUGAUGUUGACCUUUCAAUGUUUGGAUGAUAAAAUGUCACAUUUAUAGAAUAAUUUUUUGAACUUGUAACUAGUAUGCUUUUCUUCAUGUGUGUUGCCCACAUUUACGUCAUACCUUAAUAUAGAAGUGGUGUGUCCAUGGAUGAUUGCUUGGGAAACCAACUAAUAUGAUUACUCUGGAUUCAUUUGGGAGCUGGCUUUUAUAGCUUAUUAUAAUUUUGUAUGUGUUUUGAUUCUAUGCAGGUUUGGCAAUUAAUCCGUGUUACUGGGGAUUGAAGUUUUUAGUAUGGAUUAUUUGGGUCCGGAUAGCUGUCUUGAAGCGGUGGUGUAGUGUUGGAGAUUAAAAUUAGCUAGUAGUCCAUUUUAUCUGAAGUCGUGUUACUCAUUUUUUUAAAUGCUUAUAGGGCUUUCUAGAUAUGCUUGAAAGUUUUUAUAAGCAUUUUUUCAAUCAGACUAGAUUGUUGGAACUCUGUAUUGUCAU